GUAGUGUUGUAGUAGAUGUGGCGGACGGAGUAACCAAAGAAGAAGGCCGCUCAAAAUAAUUAAAUUUGCUCAACUGUCAUCUUCUUCAACCGAUCUUAGCUCAACUAACCCAUUGUUCUUUUUGGCGUUAACUCAAUCAACCAAAACCUUUUCUCCUUUCUAGCUCACGCUUUCUUCUUCUUCCAAUGGCGUCUUCUGCAGCUCUCGGAUCUCUCCAUCAGACUUUAGUGUGCGCCAUUAAUUCACAGAGUGAGGUUCACUCUCUUUCUGGAAACUGGUCUGCCUCUGGUAAUUCUUGUGUACCACGGUGGAGAUUAUCCAACAGGAACAGCAAGUAUACGCUUGUGUUACGUGCUAAGGCCGCUAAAUCUUCGACAGCAACCAAAAGUGAUGAUUCAUCUGAGGCUAGUGUGUCAAACGGGAAGAAAACUGUUCGACGGAUAACUUUCCCGAAAGAAGUGGAGGCACUGGUUCACGAGAUGUGUGAUGAAACUGAGGUUGCUGUGCUGCAACUUAAGGUUGGAGAUUUCGAGAUGAACCUAAAACGGAAGAUUGGAGCGGCCACAAACCCCAUUCCCAUGGUGGAUAUAUCUCCAACCAUAGCUCCUCCUAUUCCUUCUGAACCCAUGAAUAAAUCUGUUUCUUCAGCUCCUAGCCCAUCUAAAGCAAAACCUUCCUCUGAAAAAGUGUCUCCAUUUAAGAAUACAUCAUAUGGGAAACCAGCAAAGUUGGCUGCUUUGGAGGCAUCUGGAUCUAACAACUAUGUUUUAGUCACAUCUCCCGCAGUGGGCAAGUUUCAGAGGAGUAGAACUGUAAAAGGAAAGAAACAAUCUCCUAGCUGCAAAGAGGGUGAUGCAAUAAAGGAAGGCCAAGUUAUUGGAUACUUACAUCAGUUGGGAACAGAACUUCCAGUGACGUCGGAUGUAGCUGGGGAAGUCCUUAAGCUUCUUUCAGAUGACGGAGACUCUGUAGGUUAUGGUGAUCCUCUGGUCGCGAUCUUGCCAUCUUUCCACGACAUCAACAUCCAGUGAGGACGGUUUCUUCAGCCCAAUUCCGCAUCAAAUGAACAAUCUUUCAUCCGGAGACUGUACUAUUCAUCUAACCUUAUGGUUUUGUCACGUAAUGUGGAUUUUCUGCACCAGAGAAAAAACUUUUGUGGAGUUUUUAUAGACAUGACGUGGCCAUCUUAUCUUCCCCGA